rnacentral:lncRNA from 1 species
AACCUUUCAAAAAUUAGAGAUUUUAUUUUAAUUAAUAUUUUUACUAAAUAUAUGUACACCAUUACACACAAACCCUAAUUAAUUCCCAAAACUCUAUCUCUACAUUUCUCUCUCGUCUCACUCUCUCUAUAUUUUUUUCUAUUCUCCCCUCUCGACAGCCGACUAUCAACAGUGAGGAAAUAAAGUGAGAUCGUCGGCGCCGGAUAAGCCAAUUGAAGCAAUGUUGCCGUCAUCACUCUCUACUCCGAUGACGUCGAUGACUCUCCCUCUCCUCUCUUCUCCUCUCCUAUUUCUGUAGCAAAUCCACUGUGAGUUGUGGUUCGCGAAUCACUGCGAGUAGCAUUGGUGAAAUGAUACUGGAAAACAGAUCGACGACUCUUCGUAGGUGUGUGUGAAUGAGAGGCAGUUUGGGUUGGUGGCAAUUUUUUGGGUUUGGAUGGUUUUUUUAUGUGAUGGUGGUGGUGGUAUUUGUGUGGUGGCGGUUUGGGUAGGGUUUGGAUGGUGAUCUGUGUAGUGAUGGUGUUCCUAGUAGAGAGUAGUGGAUCCGGCAAGGUGCUGUGGUUGAGGGUGGUUGCAGUACGGUGUUGGGUUUUGGUGAUGAUGGUGGAUCUGUGGUGGGUUGCGGUUUCAGUUGUUGAUCAGUGGUGAUGAUGGUGGAUCUAUGGUGGUCGUUUUGGCGAGAUGGGUUAUGGUGGUGUUGUUACGAGUUAUGGGGUGGUGGUGGUGAUGCGAUAGUGUGGCUAGUGGUGGUGAUGGUUUUUUUGUUGUUGUCGGAGUAGUGGUGGUCGUUUGUUGUUGGGGAUUUGAGUGGUUUUGACAUUGGUGAAACUGGCGGUGAUGUUGGAUUUGGCGAGGUGGUGGUUGGUGAUGUUGAAGUGGGUGGAGAAGAGUGCGUGUGACCAAUUAUGUUAUAAUCAGUAAAUUGUUAAUUUGUAAUCAGUAAAUAAUAUGCAGAAAUAAUAUGCAGUCGAAUAUGUGACCGUGACUAAAUUUAUUAUAUGCGACCUAAAAUUUGCUAUUGUGACUUACAAUUGAUUAAGUUGUAACUAAAAAAUUAAUCGUGACCAAUUAAUCUAAUAAUUUGAAAUGAAUAUAUGAGUUGUGACCAAUAAGAGUUUUGAUUUUGUGAUCAAUGAAUAAUCUGUGGUUUAUAAACAAAUUUAUCAGUGAUCGAAAAAUAAUACGUGACCUAUAAAAUUUUUGACUCGUGACUAAUAAAUUGAUAAGUUGUGACUAGAAAUCAAUCUGUGGCUAAUUAAUUUUUUGAUUUGUGAUUGAUGAACAAACCGUGACUUGCAAAAUUUUUGAAUUGUGAUUGUAAAAUAAUUUGUGACAUAAAAUUUUUGAUUUGUUACCAAAAAAUAAUAAAUUGUUAAUUUGUGACCAAAUUGUAUAGAUCUAUGAUCUAAAUAUAUUAAAUUAAUUAAAUAAUUA